rnacentral:rRNA from 1 species
UACGAAGGGGGCUAGCGUUGCUCGGAAUCACUGGGCGUAAAGGGUGCGUAGGCGGGUCUUUUAAGUCAGGGGUGAAAUCCUGGAGCUCAACUCCAGAACUGCCUUUGAUACUGAGGAUCUUGAGUUCGGGAGAGGUGAGUGGAACUGCGAGUGUAGAGGUGAAAUUCGUAGAUAUUCGCAAGAACACCAGUGGCGAAGGCGGCUCACUGGCCCGAUACUGACGCUGAGGCACGAAAGCGUGGGGAGCAAACAG